rnacentral:rRNA from 1 species
CACGUAGGGUGCGAGCGUUGUCCGGAAUUAUUGGGCGUAAAGAGCUCGUAGGCGGUGUGUCGCGUCGGCCGUGAAAACCUGCAGCUUAACUGUGGGCUUGCGGUCGAUACGGGCAUCACUGGAGUUCGGCAGGGGAGACUGGAAUUCCUGGUGUAGCGGUGAAAUGCGCAGAUAUCCAGAGGAACACCGGUGGCGAAGGCGGCUUCCUGGACCGACACUGACGCUGAGGCGCGAAAGCCAGGGGAGCAAACGGG